CAGGGCAUAGUUAAAAAUAUAACCUUUCCCUUACACCGAAAGAUUAUCCGUGUGAACCGGGUUGCCUUGA
rnacentral:tRNA from 1 species